rnacentral:lncRNA from 1 species
CUUUAUUUAUUCUUUAAUUGUGUAGGUGCGGUUCUCUCCUUUUACAUUUGAACAGAGCAGCUUUAACAAGCAAAACAAUUUCCCUGUGGGAUGAAGAAAGUUUUUUUUUUUAAAUCUUGAAUAUUAAGCAUGUAAACACAACACGAUCAAGGACAACAAUAACUGACUGACCUUGUGCAGGAGGAGUGGGGGUCCUUCGGGCAGACAUCGGAGGAGACUGGGAGGAGAGAGAGAGAGAGAGAGACCGACAGAGGGAGGGAGGGGGGGGGGGGGGUUGAUUUCUGAGCUCUGGGCCGAGGAUUAGACAGAGAGCAGCGUAGUGCGAUACCAGCAUCCAACAUAUAGCCAAACCCCCACACACACCACAUCACCGUCAUCAUCCGGCCGGGGAAGGACGCCGUGGAUAUUCUGGAGACUCGAAUAUCGUUUCCCCUCGUACCAGCUCCACAUCACUGAUAUUUCAGAGGGAUAAAACCCUCCCAGACCGUCUCCUCCUCAGACCACGAGGUGGCUGCACCAGAUUGGGAUUGGACCUGAUGAUCGCAAGGACCCCCCUCCACCUCUUUUCAGCCAAUCCUGGAGGGGCUGCAGCGCUGAUGUCUCAGAGGGUGAGAGGGUAUUUGUGUUCUGGGGUCCUGAAGAGACAAGCUACAUCACGAUAAAUGGAGGAGAAAGAGCGAUGUAGGAGCAGGUCUCCGGCUCGGAGGGCCAGUCGGGUGCAGCAGGUGGUGGGGACAAUAAUACGACGCACCAGAGAGUCGCUUAGCAGAGAGCGGUUGCUAGGCGAUGGGAGGUCACAGCGCUCCAACAGUCUGUCCAAUCAGAACUUCCAGGCUAAGCUGACGCUGCAGAUCACCAGGGACCCGGUCCUUGACAGAAGCACUGGACAUGGCUUCACUCUCACCACAAAUGGACCCCUGCUGGUCAGGGACAUUGCCACAGGUACAUGGAGUGUGUGGUGCCAUUAUAUGUGCAUCCGUGUGGAACAUGUUGUGGAUAAGUGUGCUUUGCUUUCCUGCUUUCUCUCCAAACGGCCACCUGCUUUAUGUAACAGUACACAGCCUGCAGCGAAACCGAUUUACAC